rnacentral:lncRNA from 1 species
UUGUGUGAAAAAUUCAGGUCAAAAGCACGCUUCUGUGAUAUUUAUAAAAUUCUGACAAUGAACGCGAAAGUUUCUGUUUUUCAGCAAGAUUAAAUCAACUACCAUCAUAAAUCAUCCCAAAGGUCUUAUUUGGCACUUUAUUGAAACAAAAGCUAUAAAACAUGAUUACUACAGUAGCAUAAUCAUGAGAACACACAAAAACAGUAGGGGUAAAUACUGGGUUGUCUCCCAACAAGCGUUUUUCUUUAAUGCCUUUUUAGCUAGGCAUGAUAUUUUAAUGAUACUCUUCCAAGCCCAAUUUCGAUGAUAAUUUUGUUCAUACUCUAAAAGAUAUAAGUUAAGUUCAUAGAGCAUUCCACAAUUAAUAUAGAUUGACCAAUAUCCAAGCUCAAAAUAUAUAAGUGAAGCACACGAACCAUUCUAUAAAGCCAUAAUAAAAAAUUUAAGUGAAGCACAAAGAGCAUUCUAUAAAGCCAUACUCAAAAGAUUUAAGUGAAGCACAUGAAUUCAAGAUAAGAUUCACAAUUAUCUUCACACGAUGCCUACGGUACCAUAUUAUUUCUAUAAUUUAUAUUGAGCAAUAUAAGCCAUAGAAACUAGAAAACAAGCAAACUAUGCAUUAAAAACAGAAUCUGUCAGAAACAGAAUAGUAUGUAAUGAUCUAAACAACAACCAUACUUCUGCUAUUCCAAAAAUUCUGAAAAAUUAGGACAACGUAGGCAAUUUGUAUAUCAAUCUUGUGUAAAAAAUUCAGAUCAAAAGCACGCUUCUGUGAUAUUUUUAAAAUUCUAGCAAUGAGCGCAAAAGUUUCUGUUUUUCAGCAAGAUGAAAUCAACUACCAUCAUAAAUCAUCCCAUAGGUCUUACUUGGCACUUUAUUGAAACAAAAGCUAUAAAACAUGAUUACUACAGUAGCAUAAUCAUGAGAACACACAAAAACAGUAGCGGUAAAUAUUGGGUUGUCUCCCAACAAGCGUUUUUUUCUUUAAUGCCUUUUUAGCUAGGCAUGAUAUUUUAAUGAUACUCUUCCAAGCCCAAUUCCGAUGAUAAUUUUGUUCAUACUCUAAAAGAUAUAAGUGAAGUUCAUAGAGUAUUCUACAAUUAAUAUAUAUUGACCAAUAUCCCAGCUCAAAAUAUAUAAGUGAAGCACACGAAGCAUUCUAUAAAGCCGUACUCAAAAGACUUAAGUGAAGCACAUGAAGCACUGUAUGAAUCAAUGAAGGACUAUCUCAUACUAGCAUGGUGCAUAAAGGAAAAGAAAAUAAAAAUAAACACAAAAGACGCAUAUCAUGUGAACAAAACAAAAACCGAGGUAUACCGAUAAUUGUUGAAGAAUAAAGAUGGGAUGCCAACCGGGGCAUGCCCAAGGUUAGAUGCUUGAGUAUCCUUGAAAUAUUUACUUGGGGUGCCUUGGGCUUCCCCAAUCUUGAACUCUUGUCUCUCCUUAUUCUUCUCAUAUCGAUAACUCCUCGAUCUUCAAACACUCCAUCCACACAAAACUUAACAGAAAACAUUGUGAGAUUCGUUAGUAUAAUAAAGCAAAUCACUACCUUUAGGUACUGUUGUAAACUCAUUCCAAUUUCAUAUUAGCAUUAAAUCUACUAUAUUCCAACUUCACCAUGGUUCAUACCCCCAAAUAUUACCCAUAGAUUCAUCAAAGUAAGUGAACAACACAUAGAAAACAGAAUCUGUCAAAAACAUGACAGUUUGUAGUAAUCUGGAAACUUUGUAUACUUCUGUAACUCCAAAAAUUCUAAAAAAAUAGGACAACCUAAAUUUUUUGCAUAGUAGUACUGUGUAAAAAUUUCAGGAUUUUAUAGCGCUCCAGUAAAAAGUGUAAAUUCAAUUACUACAACAAAAGUUUCUGUUUUUUCUGCUGCACACACCAAACAAGCAAUUUAAACAACCUAAAGCCAAAUCUUGGCACAUUAUUUUUAUAUAAUACAAUGGAUAUAAACAAGGGGAUAAUUAUUUUUGAGAAACUUCCAUGAAAAAUUCUACAUUGUUUCCAUGAGCAAGAGCACAAGUGUUCAAGGUCGACCCUCACUUCUCCAAUGCAUAACCAUCCAAUCACUUCUCUUUUUGAAAAAGUUUUUAGGCAUAAGAGGUAAGUAAUUUUUUUUGUAUUUUGCAUUCUUUUUAAAAAAUUGUUUGUUUCACCCACAACUAAAGAAAACAAAAAGGGGAAACAAAAUCUACUUAGUGAAGAAAGCAAACCAGCACACACGAGAAUAUCAACCCCAUGCUAUUGCUCCCCGGUAACGGUGCCAGAAAAGAGCUUGAUAAUCCCCAAGUGCAAGGAAUCAUCGUAGCAAUUUUCCGAAGGUGGAAGUGAUAAGUAUGGCGUGUCGAACCCACAAGGGGCUAAAGGUAAGAUCAAUAUUCUCUCAAGUCCUAUCUGCCACUGAUAUGACUCUACGUACACCGAAUGUUUGCUUUCAUCUAGAAACGAGAAAUAAAACUAUGUUGUGGGUAUGAAGAGGGUAGCUAAGCAUGAUAUCGG